AUGAGUUCUCACGCUACCACAACAAACUUCUUUGUGGAUGAGUUGGAAAAGUUAAGAAAGCUUCAUCCAAGUGUGUCAAUCAUCUAUGCUGAUUACUAUGGAGCUGCUACGGAAAUCUUCGUUUCCCCUUAUCAGUUUGGUAUCGAGGAUCCUUUGGUGGCUUGCUGCGGUGUAGAAGGGCCUUAUGGUGUGUCAAUAACCACAAAGUGUGGACAUGGAGAAUACAAGAUGUGUGAUAACCCACAAAAGUAUGCAUCUUGGGAUGGCUUGCAUCCCACAGAAACGUCAUACAAGGCCAUUGCUGAUGGUCUGCUAAGAGGUUCAUACACUCAGCCUCCAAUUGCCACCACAAAAAAUUCAUGUUCAAAACUUACCAAGUUUGUCUCGUCUGCAGAGUACAAGGUUCUCUAUGAUAUGUAA
rnacentral:rRNA from 1 species